GAACGCUGGCGGCGUGCUUAACACAUGCAAGUCGAACGAUGAACCACUUCGGUGGGGAUUAGUGGCGAACGGGUGAGUAACACGUGGGCAAUCUGCCCUUCACUCUGGGACAAGCCCUGGAAACGGGGUCUAAUACCGGAUGACACUCCUACUCGCAUGGGUGGGGGUUGAAAGCUCCGGCGGUGAAGGAUGAGCCCGCGGCCUAUCAGCUUGUUGGUGAGGUAGUGGCUCACCAAGGCGACGACGGGUAGCCGGCCUGAGAGGGCGACCGGCCACACUGGGACUGAGACACGGCCCAGACUCCUACGGGAGGCAGCAGUGGGGAAUAUUGCACAAUGGGCGAAAGCCUGAUGCAGCGACGCCGCGUGAGGGAUGACGGCCUUCGGGUUGUAAACCUCUUUCAGCAGGGAAGAAGCGAAAGUGACGGUACCUGCAGAAGAAGCGCCGGCUAACUACGUGCCAGCAGCCGCGGUAAUACGUAGGGCGCAAGCGUUGUCCGGAAUUAUUGGGCGUAAAGAGCUCGUAGGCGGUCUGUCGCGUCGGAUGUGAAAGCCCGGGGCUUAACCCCGGGUCUGCAUUCGAUACGGGCAGACUAGAGUGUGGUAGGGGAGAUCGGAAUUCCUGGUGUAGCGGUGAAAUGCGCAGAUAUCAGGAGGAACACC
rnacentral:rRNA from 2 species